ACAAACUUGGUCAUUUAGAGGAAGUAAAAGUCGUAACAAGGUUUCCGUAGGUGAACCUGCGGAAGGAUCAUUAGAGAAAUCUAUAUGAAUGAAGUUAGAGGAUGUCAAGAGAUACUGUAAAAGAGGAUCUUGUUCAAGACCAGCGCUUAAUUGCGCGGUUGCGGCUUGAUUCGCCUUUUGCGGAACUUGUCUUUUGUCGUCGUUAACUCUGCUUCAACUUCUACAACACUGUGGAGUUUUCUACACAACUAUUCUUCUUUGGGGAGAUACGUCUUGAGCGUGCUCCCCAGAGGUGACAAACACAAACAACAUUUUAUUUUUAUAAACCAGUCAAAACCAAUUUCGUUAUGAAAUUAAAAAUAUUUAAAACUUUCAACAACGGAUCUCUUGGUUCUCGCAUCGAUGAAGAACGCAGC
rnacentral:misc_RNA from 1 species